rnacentral:rRNA from 1 species
GUUGCCAGCGAGUAAUGUCGGGAACUCAAAGGAGACUGCCGGUGAUAAACCGGAGGAAGGUGGGGAGUGACGUCAAGUCAUCAUGGCCCUUACGAGUAGGGCUACACACGUGCUACAAUGGCAUAUACAAAGAGAAGCGAACUCGCGAGAGCAAGCGGACCUCAUAAAGUAUGUCGUAGUCCGGAUUGGAGUCUGCAACUCGACUCCAUGAAGUCGGAAUCGCUAGUAAUCGUAGAUCAGAAUGCUACGGUGAAUACGUUCCCGGGCCUU